rnacentral:rRNA from 1 species
GACGAACGCUGGCGGCGUGCUUAACACAUGCAAGUCGAACGGAAAGGCCCUGCUUUUGUGGGGUGCUCGAGUGGCGAACGGGUGAGUAACACGUGAGUAACCUGCCUUGAAUUUGGGAUUACUUUAGGAAACCGGGGGCAAUUCCGGAAAAGAGCUCCUGGCGCAUGGUGGGGGGUGGGAAGGUUCGGCGGUUGGGGAUGGACUCGCGGCUUAUCAGCUUGUUGGUGGGGUAGUGGCUUACCAAGGCUUUGACGGGUAGCCGGCCUGAGAGGGUGACCGGCCACAUUGGGACUGAGAUACGGCCCAGACUCCUACGGGAGGCAGCAGUGGGGAAUAUUGCACAAUGGGCGGAAGCCUGAUGCAGCAACGCCGCGUGCGGGAUGACGGCCUUCGGGUUGUAAACCGCUUUCGCCUGUGACGAAGCGUGAGUGACGGUAAUGGGUAAAGAAGCACCGGCUAACUACGUG